UUGUUCUUAUCCAACCUUUUCUUCUCCCAUCAAAAUCGUCUAGAAGCCCUAAAACCACCCCCACCCCACCGAUCGAUUUUGCUCCUUCUACUACACCUUCAAUGGCUGCCAUGGAUUUGGUGGCACAGGUGUGUUUUCCUGCUUCCAUUCUGACCUCCACCGCCUCCUCUCACUUCAGUUGUGGUGCUUUGGAGUUCCAGUGGGUGAUUAAGUAUACGCUUCUCGCUUCUUCUUCUACCUACCACUCCCCAAUGGCUCCGGCGACGACACACCCUUUCUCCAUCAGGUGUGUAAAGUUAUGGGCAACACGAUGAUUGCUUGAUUCCAAAAAUUAGGAUUUCUGGCUCAAGACUUCCGAAUGUGGGCUUCUCAUCUUCAUCCAUGGAUUUUUGGUUCUCUAACUUGAUUAGGUUUACUGCAGUCGUUGAUGAUGCCAGAGCUAGAAAAUCCAGCAAGAUUUCGAGAUAAUAAAGAGAUGUUUACUGUUAUGGAUGAAGUUUUGGCUGCUGCCCACCAGCUUAUGGAAAAUGUUUGCAGUUGAAGUCACGAAAUUCAGAAGCUCUGUAUUAACCUUCUUCAAAAGGUUGCAAUGUGGAACCGGGCCGUAUCUACUAUCAUGUUUCAGUUAUUGGUUCCUUACAAUAUGAGAAUUCGGACCAUGUUCUAUCACCUACUUGGUCUACAAGAGUCUUUUCACCUUCUGGUGUUCCUGACAUUCAGUGGAGACCUGGAAGUUCCUUCCAAACUCAGCAUGAAUACACUUGUACAUUAUAUUGUAUCUACAUUAACUAAAAUACUAUUAAUGUAUUUACUUUUUUUUUUAAUUUUAAUUUUGACAGGGACGACUCCGUUGUAGAACUGAAAUAGCACCAGAUCAAAGGGAGAAAUUUUUGCAGAAAUUCCAAUAAGUACAACAACAACGAAGCGGCACCCUUCCAGGAAUGCCGCCUAUUUCUUGAGGAACUUAUAAGCAAUUUUCAACACAACAAAACUCUCUUCUACAGCAGUUUAAUUCCCAAAGCUCAAGUGGAUGGGGUGGGGCACCGCCAGCAAGUCCCAACAUUGCCACGUCAGCACAACAACAAAAUCUAAUCCAUUUACAGUCAAGUCAACAGAUGUCAACCGGUUCUAAAGAUAGCGCAAAUAACAAUUCAAAAGUUGAUGACAUUGAACAACAGCAACAACAAAUACACCAACAAAGCGUUACAUAUCAUGACUCAAUACCUGAUCCUGCACAAUCUCCUGUCCUUAACAAGAACACUUCCAAUGAAGAAGAUUCAAACGUCUCAUACAUUAGACAUGCAGCAGGGAUCUGGGACUAUGACAGAAGCAGCACAAAGCACACGCGAUGUUGACCUGUCACCUGGUCAGCCAUUACAAUCAAACCAGUCGGUUAGCCUGGGUGUGAUUGGUAGAAGAAUCCUGACUUGGGUGCAAUUGGAGACAACGUUAAUGGGUUAGCCGUGUCCCUAGGUGGGACCCACGACCAACAAUACAACCUCCAAAUGCUUGAGUCCGCCUUCUACAAACUCCCCCAACCCCGAGACUCAGAACGUCCCAAAAGCUACAUUGUAGUGAAUAUUAUUACAUCAUACUUUCAUUUUUUAUUUUUUAUUUAACUCUUUUACAGAGGCACCCUGCGGUGACCCCAUAAAGCUAUCCGCAAGUGCAAGCUCUAAUUGUGAACAACUUGGCCUUUUGGGAACGUCUUGGAUCCGACAACAUUGGGACCGAUACUUUAUUUUUUUCAUUUAUUAUCAAUAGGUAUUUUUAUUUUUAUAUCAUUUGUAAUUUUUAUUUUAAAUUUUUUGAAAUUUGUGUGAUUUCAUGCACAAUGCUUAUCAACACUAUAUGGCUGCAAAAGAAUUAAAGAAAUAAUCAUGGAGGUACCAUAAAUAAUACAACACGUGGUUUCAAAGACAUGAAGAGCCAAAAUUUGCUAAACCGGAACCGGGUCAGAACUGUCAGAGGCAAAAAUCCAUGCAAAUCUUUUUCGAAAACAUUCUUUGUGGAAUGUAUACCCUGUGCAGAUGAUCUGCUGAUGGGGAGAUCCUCGGUUGAUUCAACAAGUGGUUUUCAGGAUGAUCCACAAGAAAGGUGGCAUAUUGAGUUCCAACCAUGGCCCCACUAAGCCCCUAUUGAGUUCCAACCAUGUAACUUGGACAGUUAACUAAAAAAAAUAGAUUUCAAAAUAAUCACAAUUUAAGGGAUAUUUUAGGCAAUUUUUCAUAAUAAUAGGCUGCUAUGGUAAGAUAGAAAGUUGCGGCUUAAAUUGUGAUUAUUUUGAAAUCUAUUUUUUUUAGUAUUUUGGUUAGAAAAAUUGAUUUAUGUGUUCUUCAUUACAGGGUAUUUAGGAAUUCUGUGUUUAUCAAUAGUUGAUCAAAUGACAUU